rnacentral:misc_RNA from 1 species
GUCAAUGAACUGUCAAUCUGUCAUUUAUUUUUCAAGAUGGCUCCAAAUCGGAGUGUUUUAGGAUUUUUGAACCCAAAAACCAUUAGUACAGUUUUCAAUAAUAGUAUUGCAAAAAUUCCUUACCGAUAUGUGCAUGGGUGUAAUGGCUGUAAAACUUUUAUAGGCGGUCAACCCAUAGCCGUACUAUCCGUGGCACGUAAAAAUUACAAUGUCGGCCCUAGGCACCGAUUUAUUCACACAACGAACAGUUUGUGUGCGGCUGACUACUACAAGGUUCUCGGUGUUGCCAAGAACGCUUCUGCCAAAGACAUCAAGAAGGCUUACUACCAGCUUGCUAAGAAGUACCAUCCUGAUGCAAACAAAUCGGAUCCAGAAGCUUCUAAGAAGUUUCAAGAAGUGUCAGAAGCUUAUGAGAUACUCUCCGAUGAAAAUAAGCGCAAACAGUAUGAUACCUUUGGCACAACUUCCGAUGACAUGGGUAUGAGAGGUGGUCCAUCUGGGGCAGAUGGCUUCACCCACCAAUGGCAGUACAAGUCCACCAUAGACCCUGAAGAGCUGUUCCGGAAGAUUUUCGGUGACGCUGGCUUCAAGAGUGAGGCUUUCAGUGACUUUGCUGAAUCCAAGUUUGGGUUUGGUGCAGCCCAAGAGAUGGUAGUGAAUCUGCGGUUCACAGAAGCAGCUCGUGGUGUCAACAAAGAACUGAAUGUGAAUGUUGUGGACACCUGCCCCAAGUGCCAAGGCUCUCGCUGUGAGCCUGGAACCAAGGCCAUCAAAUGUACUUACUGCAAUGGAACUGGCAUGGAGACUUUCUCUCGAGGUCCAUUUGUGAUGCGUUCUACAUGUCGGCACUGCCAUGGUACUCGAAUGCUGAUCAAAUUCCCCUGCGUCGAGUGUGAGGGCAAGGGACAGUCGGUGCAACGCAAGAAGAUAAAAGUACCAGUCCCAGCGGGUGUAGAAGAUGGUCAGACUGUCCGCAUGGCUGUCGGCAACAACAAUGAGAUAUUUAUCACCUUCAAGGUGGAGAAGUCCAAUUACUUCCAGAGAGACGGACCUGACGUUCACACUGAUUGUACCAUUUCCGUAGCCCAAGCACUGUUGGGUGGCACGGUCAGGAUACAAGGGCUAUACGAAGAUCACACAUUGCAGAUAAUGCCAUGCACGUCGUCACACAGCAUUAUCCGGCUGUCGCGGAAGGGUAUGAAACGCGUCAGUCAGCAUGGCUACGGAGAUCACUACGUGCACAUCAAAAUACAGGCACCAAAAUCGCUGUCGAGCAAGCAGAAGGCGCUAAUGUACGCUUACGCCGAACUUGAAGAGGAUACCCCCGGACAGAUACAUGGCGUCACCCUCGAUAGAGAUGGAGCAAUGGGGGAGAAAUAAUGAAAGGUCUAAAUGAGCCUUUUCGUAGGUUAAAUUAUACAGUAAAAGAGCUGCAUAUUGUAAGAAAAUGUCGAUAUCUGAAAUAGACAUGGUGGAUGCUGUUAAGGAGGCCAUUAAGGACAAAAAGUCCUUAGAAGGAGCGUCUACCGAGGAGGAAGUACUCGAGGAAUCUAAAAGGAGCAAGGGAUAGAUAGCCAAU